UACGGGGGGGCAAGCGUUGUUCGGAAUUACUGGGCGUAAAGAGCUCGUAGGUGGUUUGUCGCGUUGUUCGUGAAAACUCACAACUCAAUUGUGGGCGUGCGGGCGAUACGGGCAGACUGGAGUACUGCAGGGGAGACUGGAAUUCCUGGUGUAGCGGUGGAAUGCGCAGAUAUCAGGAGGAACACCGGUGGCGAAGGCGGGGUCUCUGGGCAGUAACUGACGCUGAGGAGCGAAAGCGUGGGGAGCGAACAGG
rnacentral:rRNA from 1 species